rnacentral:rRNA from 1 species
CCUACGGGAGGCAGCAGUGAGGAAUAUUGGACAAUGGUCGAAAGACUGAUCCAGCCAUGCCGCGUGCAGGAAGACGGCCCUAUGGGUUGUAAACUGCUUUUGUUUGGGAAGAAACCUUUCUACGUGUAGAAAGCUGACGGUACCAUACGAAUAAGCACCGGCUAACUCCGUGCCAGCAGCCGCGGUAAUACGGAGGGUGCAAGCGUUAUCCGGAUUUAUUGGGUUUAAAGGGUCCGUAGGCGGACUUAUAAGUCAGUGGUGAAAUCCUGCAGCUCAACUGUAGAACUGCCAUUGAUACUGUAAGUCUUGAAUUCGGUUGAAGUGGGCGGAAUAUGGCAUGUAGCGGUGAAAUGCUUAGAUAUGCCAUAGAACACCGAUUGCGUAGGCAGCUCACUAAGCCUGGAUUGACGCUGAGGGACGAAAAGCGUGGGUAGCGAACAGGAUUAGAUACCCUGGUAGUCCACGCCGUAAACGAUGAUUACUCGACAUUAGCGAUACACGGUUAGUGUNAUAAGAGAAGACGAUAAAGUAAAUACGCCGUCGGGUAAGGUACGUUCGUUCGAAGAAAGUUAAGUUAAAGUUAAAAUUAAGAAGUUAGACGGACGUUGAGACGAGCGACGGACGACGACGAGGGAGGAGGAG